rnacentral:rRNA from 1 species
UACGUAGGUGGCGAGCGUUGUCCGGAAUUACUGGGCGUAAAGGGCGUGUAGGCGGACAUUUAAGUCAGGUGUGAAAUUUGCGGGCUCAACCCGGAAUGUGCAUCUGAUACUGGGUGUCUUGAGUGCAGGAGAGGGCAGUGGAAUUCCUAGUGUAGCGGUGAAAUGCGUAGAUAUUAGGAGGAACACCAGUGGCGAAGGCGACUGCCUGGACUGUAACUGACGCUGAGGCGCGAAAGCGUGGGGAGCAAACAGGAUUAGAUACC